rnacentral:rRNA from 1 species
AUUGAUUUUAUGCUUGCAUAAAUGAUUUUUGGAUUCGGAGCGAGUGGCGAACUGGUGAGUAACACGUGGGUAACCUUCCCCGAAGCGGGGGAUAACAUUUGGAAACAAGUGCUAAUACCGCAUAAUUAGUUGGAACCGCAUGGUUCCAACUUGAAAGAUGGCUCUGCUAUCACUUUGGGAUGGACCCGCGCCGUAUUAGUUAGUUGGUGAGAUAAAAGCCCACCAAGACGAUGAUACGUAGCCGACCUGAGAGGGUAAUCGGCCACAUUGGGACUGAGACACGGCCCAGACUCCUACGGGAGGCAGCAGUAGGGAAUCUUCCACAAUGGACGAAAGUCUGAUGGAGCAACGCCGCGUGAGUGAUGAAGGUUUUCGGAUCGUAAAACUCUGUUGUUAAAGAAGAACAAGUGUUAGAGUAACUGUUAACACUUUGACGGUAUUUAACCAGAAAGCCACGGCUAACUACGUGCCAGCAGCCGCGGUAAUACGUAGGUGGCAAGCGUUGUCCGGAUUUAUUGGGCGUAAAGCGAGCGCAGGCGGUUUUGUAAGUCUGCUGUGAAAGCCCUCAGCUCAACUGAGGAAGUGCAGUGGAAACUACAAAACUUGAGUACAGAAGAGGAAAGUGGAACUCCAUGUGUAGCGGUGAAAUGCGUAGAUAUAUGGAAGAACACCAGUGGCGAAGGCGGCUUUCUGGUCUGUUACUGACGCUGAGGCUCGAAAGCAUGGGUAGCGAACAGGAUUAGAUACCCUGGUAGUCCAUGCCGUAAACGAUGAAUACUAGGUGUUGGAGGGUUUCCGCCCUUCAGUGCCGCAGCUAACGCAUUAAGUAUUCCGCCUGGGGAGUACGACCGCAAGGUUGAAACUCAAAGGAAUUGACGGGGGCCCGCACAAGUGGUGGAGCAUGUGGUUUAAUUCGAUGCUACGCGAAGAACCUUACCAGCUCUUGACAUCUUCUGCCAACCCAAGAGAUUGGGCGUUCCCUUCGGGGACAGAAUGACAGGUGGUGCAUGGUUGUCGUCAGCUCGUGUCGUGAGAUGUUGGGUUAAGUCCCGCAACGAGCGCAACCCUUAUUAUUAGUUGCCAGCAUUUAGUUGGGCACUCUAGUGAGACUGCCGGUGAUAAA